AGUGAACGCUGGCGGUAGGCCUAACACAUGCAAGUCGAACGGCAGCACAGUAAGAGCUUGCUCUUACGGGUGGCGAGUGGCGGACGGGUGAGGAAUACAUCGGAAUCUACUUUUUCGUGGGAGAUAACGUAGGGAAACUUACGCUAAUACCGCAUACGACCUACGGGUGAAAGCAGGGGAUCUUCGGACCUUGCGCGAUUGAAUGAGCCGAUGUCGGAUUAGCUAGUUGGCGGGGUAAAGGCUCACCAAGGCGACGAUCCGUAGCUGGUCUGAGAGGAUGAUCAGCCACACUGGAACUGAGACACGGUCCAGACUCCUACGGGAGGCAGCAGUGGGGAAUAUUGGACAAUGGGCGCAAGCCUGAUCCAGCCAUACCGCGUGGGUGAAGAAGGCCUUCGGGUUGUAAAGCCCUUUUGUUGGGAAAGAAAAGCAGCAGGUUAAUACCCCGCUGUUCUGACGGUACCCAAAGAAUAAGCACCGGCUAACUUCGUG
rnacentral:rRNA from 1 species